AUACAAGCUCUUGCGCAAUCAAA
rnacentral:snRNA from 1 species